rnacentral:rRNA from 1 species
UACGGGGGGAGCAAGCGUUGUUCGGAUUUACUGGGCGUAAAGGGCGCGUAGGCGGCCACCGCAAGUCGAUUGUGAAAUCUCCGGGCUUAACCCGGAAAGGUCAGCCGAUACUGCGGGGCUAGAGUGCAGAAGGGGCAACUGGAAUUCUCGGUGUAGCGGUGAAAUGCGUAGAUAGUCGGAGGAACAUCAGUGGCGAAGGCGGCCUUCUGGUCCAGUACUGACACUCAAGUGCGAAAGCGUGGG